GUGGCCGCUGGAUGGGUGCUCUCUACUAGUGCUGUGCAGAGGCUUUUGCUGAGGCUGCUGUGAGCCUGUAGGGUUUCCCCAUAGGCUAUGGAGCCGG
rnacentral:pre_miRNA from 1 species